AUGGUUGCAUCAGCACUCUCGUUGAUCGCUUCAGUCUUCUUCACCUCUUCUGCUGGCAGGUCACUUGCUGAUAUGUUUUCUUCCACUUCAACAGGAGCGGCCUCGUCUGCAAGAGCAACAUUGUUUUUCACAUCUUCAGGGAGCUCACUGUUGUUUGCAUCAGCGCUCUCGUUGAUUGCUUCAGUCUCCACGGCUUCAGUAUCCUUCACCUCUUCUGCUGGCAGAUCAUUUGCUGAUAUGAUUUCUUCCACUUCAGAAGGUUCAGUACUCUUGGAGCUGCCUCAUCUGCAGGAACAACAUUGCUUGUCACAUCCUCAGAUAGCUCGCUGGUGUUUGCAACAGUGCUCUCGUUGA
rnacentral:rRNA from 1 species